CUUGUAACAACGUGGAUAAUCAAAUAUACUAGAUACAAUAGAGUUGCCUUUUCUCUAAAGAUUGCAACUGGUAUAUGUAUAAAUACAAUGUACACACAAACGAAUGUUUACUUCAACUUCUGUGGAAAACAUUAUAUGUAUAAAUAACAUGAGCUUAUAAAGACAAACUGCGAUUUUAAAAACCACAAUCUAAUCAACUCUACCCUAAGAGGGAAGUAAAGAAGUAUAUGCAUAAAUCUAAUGAAUAUAUUGAAAUGUCCAUUGAAUUUAAAAGGUCAUCAUAAAAGGUUUUAAUGCGAUUGAAAAGUAUAUACUUCGACGUUUAAAAAAAACUGAUUCAAAAC
rnacentral:lncRNA from 1 species